UAUUUGCAUCCGAAUUAAGGUUGCGUUUUACUUUUUUUAGAAAACGCAUUAAAAGGGAAUUAGGUUUAAAACCUAAGCUGUACCCGCAACUGUAAGCUAUAAAGCUUGUUGUUAUCUACAAAGCCACUGUUUUUAAAGUGGGAAAUUAGAAAUUAGAAAAUUGAAGUGUUGCUACUUCUAACCUCUAACCUCUAACUUCUACCUUGGAAUGGGAAGGUCAACAACAAGACGCAAGCCAGGAGACCUGCCUUUUUUCUUAACCAAUA
rnacentral:ncRNA from 1 species